rnacentral:lncRNA from 1 species
ACACUCCUAAUCAUAUGAGCUAAAAUGUUACACACUCAAUCUUUGAGAGAUAUAAAGAAAAAGACAUAUACAUAGAUAGAUUAUCUUUCCAUAAGGUUGACCGAUCUGAUCUGACAAAUGUUAUAAGUGCUACACUCAUGAACUUAUCAUCCAUCAACUUGUCUUGCUCACUAUGCUUAAGGUUAGAGAAGAACAAAUACACUUUUGGUUCUGUUGGUGUUUUCCACCAACAGAGCCCAUGCACUUGAUCUCUGCCUUGUCUCUAUGAGCAGGUACACUACGAGCACAAACACACUGAGCAAGAUACUGCUAACGCUGCACUUCGAACUGCUGGGCAAACGAAGAACAUGGGUGACACCGUAUUAAAAGGUGCAGACGUCAAAGUCCGCACCUGAAUCAAAUGACGCACCUGAAGAAUGAACACGAUGAGAAGUCUUGACAAGAAGACUUAAAACAUUGAACCCUCGCCGAAAGGUAAGAUUGGUAGUUAUCCAUAUUUAUCCUUUCUGCAUUCCCUUUUCCAUUUAAUUAUUUACUUUCCUUAAAUAGAUUAUUAGUUAAUCAUGCUAUCUUGAAAAGAAAAUAAAAAUGUUAAAAAAUACUAAGCCCCAUGUGAGUAUACGAGUGGCAUAAAACCCAUAAGCACCUUCACUGUGGUGGCAUAAAAAUAAAAUAAAUAUUUCUUUUCUACUUUAUAAAAUAAAAAUAUAAAAACAGGGAGUAAUAUUUAUUGAGGAAGCUCAACGUGAUGAAGGCUAGAUAUUUAUGCUAACACUUAAUUAGUUCCACAAGCUUUGUUGUCUAUUUGAGCUCCAUAGAAUUUAAGAAUCAAGAAGACUAGCAGACGGAGGACAUUCUAAUCGCUGUCAGAAUGCUGCUGACUUUCAAAUACACCUCUGCCACCUGCUAGCUACAUCAAGAGAAAUUACGUCAAAAUUCAGCUUGG